AUGGAGUUAGCUAUAAAGAAAGUGAUGCCAGAUACUACUCACCGUUGGUGCAAGUGGCAUGUGCUCAAGCGGGCAAAAGAAUUUCUUGGGCAACAUUACACAAAGCGAAGCAAAUUCAUGUCAGAAUUUCACAAGAUAAUACAUCACAUGCUCACAGUUGACGAAUUUGAGACUGCAUGGAAACAACUCAUUGAAACAUAUGGUUUACAAAAACACCACUAUCUGACCCAAAUAUAUGAAACAAGGAAAAAGUGGGCAAAACCAUAUUUCCAUGGCAAAUUUUGUGCAAAGAUGACAAGCACACAACGCAGCGAGAGUGCAAACCAUAUGUUGAAAACUUAUGUUCCAGCUAGUUGCCCAAUGCAUCUGUUUGUUCGCCAGUUCAUGAGGCUUCUUUUUGAUAGAGAAGCAAAUGAGAACUAUGAAGAAAGAAGAACAAAGAUAGUAGCCCCGGUGCUGAAGCUGAAGACACCAAUCGAGUUGCAUGCCAGCAAAAUCUACACACGGGCCAUUUUUGAGAAAUUUGUAGAAAUCAUAUGUGAAGCAGGACAAUACAAGGUAGAAGAAGUUAGUAAAGGGAAAACAUAUUUUGUGAACCGGUACCAUCCAGAGAGACAUGAGCAGUGGUGCAGGAUACUAUACAAAGUUGAAGUUGUCAAUGAAGGAGAAAAAAUCAUAUGUGAGUGUGGAAAUUUUGAACACACUGGACUGCUCUGCUGCCAUGCUAUCAAGGUGCUUGAUUUCAUUGGCAUAGACCAUAUACACGCGAAUCAUAUUCUGAAGCGUUGGACAAAGGAUGCAAGGGAUAUUCUGCCAGCUCACCUCUCGUACCUUCAGAAGGAUAGCAUUUUUGUAAAUUCAGUAACGUUCAGGCAUGCAAAUGUGUACACACAUGCACUUGAAGUGGUUAGAAUAUCGGAUGCAAAUCUAGAAGCAUAUGAGUGCGCGAUGGAGAUGCUUAAGAUAACAAUGGAUAAACUGACACCCAUUGCUGCUGUGCGUGAUGGACGGGGAUUGGAAGACAGAAUUCAACAACUGACGGAUAAAGGUAAGGAAGCAGCAGCAGAAAUAGCACCACUAGUUAGUAAUACAAGUGAUGUUGAAUGCAGCGCAAUUGGGGAUUUCAUUGGCCUAAAAGCUCCAGAAUGGAAGAGAAAGGCUGGCCGACCAACGACAAGCAGAGACAAACCUCCGUACGAUGAUCGGGGCUGGAAAAGCAAGAAGUUCAAGAAGGCAGCGGGUGGAGAUGAUGCUGACAAAUGUGGAACAAGCAAGCGAACUCGUUUUUGCAGUAUAUGCCGAGAACCUGGGCACAAGAGCACCACCUGCCCCCAAAGAGGAGAUCUGCCUCCAAAACAAAGGAAAGAGGCAAAGUGUUCAAUUUGUGGCGUCGGUGGGCACAGAAGAAACACAUGCAACAAUCCAAAGGUUGUUCUGCAUGUUGUUGACAACACUAAUCUGCAUGAAAACGCAAUUAUAUCAUCUUCGUAA
rnacentral:rRNA from 1 species